GAGUUUGAUCUUGGCUCAGAUUGAACGGUGGCGGCAUGCGUAACUCAUGCAAGUCGAACGGUCACAGGGAGCCUGCUCCGCUUACGAGUGGCGAACGGGUGAGUAAUGCAUCGGAACGUUCCGUGUAAUGGGGGAUAACGUACAGAAAGUUACGCUACUUCCGCAUACACCCUGAGGGGGAAAGUGGGGUACGACUAGGCCUCGCGUUAUACGAGCGGCCGAUGUGAUCAUGGCUAGUUGGUGGGGUCAAGUCGUCCCAAGGGGGGGCUCCGUAGCCGGUUUGAGAGGAUGAUCCCCCACCCUGGGACAGAGACACGACCCAGACUCGUCCGGGAGGCAGCAGUGGGGAAUGUAGGCCAAUGGGGCCCACCUUGAUCCAGCCAUCCCGCGUGAGUGAAGAAGUCCUUCGGCUUGUAAAGCUCUUUCAGGUGGAAAGAAAUAGCAUCUUUUAAUCCAGGGCGUGGAUGACGCACCAUCAGAAGAAGCACCGGCUAACUAUGUGCCAGCAGCCGCGGUAA
rnacentral:rRNA from 1 species